rnacentral:rRNA from 1 species
GAUGAACGCUGGCGGCGCGCUUAACACAUGCAAGUCGAACGGUGAAAGCGGAGCUUGCUCUGCUGGAUCAGUGGCGAACGGGUGAGUAACACGUGAGCAAUCUGCCCCUGACUCUGGGAUAAGCGCUGGAAACGGCGUCUAAUACCGGAUACGAGCUGCGAAGGCAUCUUCAGCAGCUGGAAAGAACUUCGGUCAGGGAUGAGCUCGCGGCCUAUCAGCUAGUUGGUGAGGUAACGGCUCACCAAGGCGUCGACGGGUAGCCGGCCUGAGAGGGUGACCGGCCACACUGGGACUGAGACACGGCCCAGACUCCUACGGGAGGCAGCAGUGGGGAAUAUUGCACAAUGGGCGAAAGCCUGAUGCAGCAACGCCGCGUGAGGGACGACGGCCUUCGGGUUGUAAACCUCUUUUAGCAGGGAAGAAGCGAAAGUGACGGUACCUGCAGAAAAAGCGCCGGCUAACUACGUGCCAGCAGCCGCGGUAA